UCGAGCAUGCGACCGGUCGAGUGCUGCGGUCUGUCAUUAAUGUCGCGUUUUGUUAAUUCACUUAUCUAGUGCUGCUAGUAGUUCAGUUGAAUGUCGUUACUUCAAGUUCUUCGUAUUAAAAUACUUCCGAGUGAUAUCACCAUGACUCUUCUGUCUAAACUUCGUCCGACUGAAGAGGAAACUCUUCUUCAGUCAAAUGAAGUUACGUUUCAGCUCAAUCCACUAUCUUCUGUACCUCUAUAGUAAUACUACUUCUGCUAACUGUUCUGCACUCGCUUUUUCGAACCACCUGGCGACUCACUAAAAAUCGAGAUAUCUCUGUUACAUGUCGACUUGAUCGUACCAUGGAGCCUUCGAAUCAACAGAACAUCUUAACAUCAAACAAUAAAGCAAAAUUAAUACAAUGUCAUAAUGGUCUAAAUAGAAGAUUAUCUUCCUCUCAUGUAUUACCUAACAGUUCUUACUUCUCUGGAAAAAAUCUUGACCAGUCUUCAACUCUCGACUAAUGCCAUCAAAAUAAAUCAUCAAAUAACGAAGAUGUUGCUUUCGAACCAUCACAGAAUAAGACGCGAAGAAUUAUAUUGAGAAAAUAUCAAACGGAAACUGAUAAGACACAGAAAGCCACAAUAAUGAACGAGUAGCGAUCAAAAUGGCAUGCGAGCAUUCUCUAUUGUGAAAGGUAUAUCGGCGAAUAAACCACAUUUUAGUUUUUGUUGAAUGUUGUUACUAGCUAAAUCGUUAUUUUGCCGUGUGGGACCCGGUUUAUAGAAUAGGUCCACCCCUCGCAACCUAAGGGUGUCGUAAAAGGCGACUAAGGGUAAAAGAGAAAGGAAAGAAUGAUGGAGAUGAAAACAAAGCAAGUAAACAACAUCAAUCACAAGAUCUUUAAAAUGUAUGUGACUACAUCUACAUAGGACGAAGGAUUACGAAGAACAACAUUUUGAUAUGGCGCACAUACUCAAGCGCUGCCGUGAUGUGUUUGUGUGUACUAAGUUAAGCGUGUUCAGUUAGUCUAGUUCAUAACAACUGAAGUUAGACCUACGCGACGAUACCAUUAUGCCACUUACUACCAGAAAACAUCGAAACUUCGAGAUCAAAGACUCGAGACACCGAAGACAUCACAGGUCAGUAAUGGUACCAGUGUAAUAUAUUAACUUGUGAUAUUUGUGACUCUAAAUGUCAUGCAUUGAUCUAGUUUUCGAAGUUAGUUUAAAAAGGCAACAUCCUGGAAAUUGUUUAGAAUGUAUAACCCUGUCACGUUAUAGCUAACGCUACAUAGAUUUACAAAAAUGUAGAGCAUUGGUUACACACAAUAACAUUAUUAAUAGAAUAUAUCAGAUAAUCAAGAAGUACCUAAAUAGUGUCAUAAUUUUUUUAUUGCAAAAUUAACUUUAAUUAAAUAAAUUUCAACUAUCCACUUCUUGCUUAAGAAUAUGUACAUUUCAUUAUUGAACCGUAUCCAGGAAAAGCAUUUUAAUAAACUUACAACAUAGCGUAAUGUAUAAAUUUUUUGAAAUUUUUAGUAAUAAUUGAGUAUAAAAAAAUAGGCUUUGAAAAGAUUUUAUGGUUACAUUAUUAUUCCAGAUAGGAAAUUAAUUUGACAUUACUCGUGAUAGGGUUACGGCAUGGUAACAAAACACCACAAUUUGUUACAAGAUUCAAAUACUAUAAUAUGUUACGUCUUUCAUAAAUUAAAAUUAUAAAAAUGUUAAUGAAGUUAAUCUAUGAAUAAAUUAAUAUAACAGUGUGACAAAAUAUAAAAAAACGUACAAAAAAAAUAAAAAAGCGCACGUUGAACUGGACCCUUCUUAGCUCAUGAAUAUAAAUACUCGUACGGUUAAGAAAACACAUGUCUUCCAAUAGAACCGCCUGCGAGAUGCCAUUAUUAAAGAAAAAGUCUGGUAUAUAAAUUACAUUUUCCUAUCAAAAUUACAAAUUUUCACAAUUGGCUGGCUUUGACAGUCUAAAUUAUGACUGUAUGUCUAAAAAACCACAUUCACCUUACUUCAAGUUCAUAUUGAUGUUGAGAAGAACAGAGUUUUAUAUAUUACGAUUGUUACAGUUUUUCACAAGUGCCUACCCCGCCACAUUUUCGGCGCCUAUAAUAAUCAUUUCAAUUUUUGUUUUUUAUAAACACAACUUAAGAGCUAAGAAAGGUGGUUGGUUCAUCGGUAUAAAACAAUUUUUCCAUUGAUAGCCAACGUAUUCUACAUCAUUCAUCAUUUGGUUCAAUUUUUAUAAAUGCAUAAUUUCAUAUUGACGUUAGAAUUCAAGAUCACAUAAGUAACACACCCAUGUGUAUUGCAACAUCAAGGCAACUGUGUUAUAUAUGUUCAACGUGCAAAAAAACAAAAAAAAAGUUGUUUGUUCUAUUUUGGUUGCAAAAAAAAUAACUGUUUAUAAUUAAACGUUAAAUCUAAUUGUGCAUCUGUAUAUAUUUAAAUUUUGAUAAAAAAACUACAAAAUAAACAAAAACAUUAAAUAACGAGUAUAAAAAUAGGAAAAACACACAAAAAAAAUACAAAAAAUACAAAAAAAAACAAAAAAGCAUAGGUUAGUAUAAUUCUGUUAUUGUUGUUCUCUAUAAGUAAUAAGCGUGAAUGUUAGCUUUAGUAAUAAAAUAUUCACAAAAACCAAAAAAAAAUAAGUACGCGCAUUCAUGAUACCUCCUGAAAACUGUUUACGACUUUUUAAGGUACAAAUUAAAUUAUAUUAGCAGUUUAUCAUACCCAUUUAGAAAGUAAAUUUCAACGAUCUCAUCAUAGAUAAAUUACCGAUCAUUAUGAUAAUUUAACAUUUGGACUUCCAUUAAAAUAACGUAACUUCAUAUAAUAUCUAGAAGGUAUACCACCACGUUUGACUAGUCUCAGCCAUCCGUCUCAUGGGUCGUGCGUCUUGCCAAAUACCUCAAACAACAAGCUGCUGUCAAUGUAAAUUCCAUAUUAAUUACAGAUAUUCACAUUAAGGUAAAUUAGUGCAAUAAUUGGGCUAUCCCGACUCGUUAUACCUCAACAUCCCCCUCAGAGUAGUAUACGUGUUUGUUGAUAUUAGGUGUCGUGCAACGGAAUGGAUUUCGGUUUUGGAAUAGGUUUGAAAGUGUUUGCACAACUAUUAUUUUAAGCAACAUAUGUAGUUUAAUAUAAGUAUAAUGUUGCUUACAAUUAUACUAAAUAUGACAGUGACGUGGUACAGUUAUUCCAACUGUAGCAUGGUAGCAGAUGGCUUAAUGCUUAAGGUUGCAUGACGUUUUGCGGGGUUCGAAUAACGGCCAUUUUCUAUAAUCUGUCUAUUUGUAGAUUUGCUUAUUGAGAUAGAAUUUUGAUAUAAGCUCCAUACAAAAUGUGUCAAAAUUCUAUCCCAGUAAGCAAAUCAACAAAUAGAUAGGUUAUAGAAAAUGGCCGUAAAUGUAUCACAAACACAUUUACUGUAUAGUUGUAGAUAUUAAGGCAAGUUUCGUGCAACUGAACGGAUUUCGGUUAUGGAAUGAGCUUGAAUAUGUUUGCACUACUAUUAUUUUAAGCAACAUAGUGUGAUACAAUUUUGCUUAAAAUAAUGAUAAAUAUGACGGUGACGUGUUGUAAUCAAUAUAACUGCAAUACGGUGGCAGAUGGCUGAAUGUUUAAGGGUUGCACGAUGUUUUGAAGUGAGUAUUAAUUGAUUAUGUAGAAUAGAUCACAUACACGUACUUAAAUACGUAUUUGUUGAUAUAAGCUGUCGUGCAAUAGAACAGAUAUAAGGUAUGAGAAAUUUUACUUAAGAAGAAUUUGAAAGCGUUUGCACUGCUAUUGUUAUGAGCAAAAUUAUUCAAUGCAACGCUGCAGUUGGCUUAAUCGUUAAGGUAGCAAGAUGAUUUGUGGGA